AAGGGUCCCCCGGGUGGUUCGGCGGCGAAGCGCUUCCGGACUCCCGCCUUAGGCCAGCCACCGGGGCUCGCUCUCUAUGGUUGCUCCCGCUCUGGGAAAGGCGUCUCGAAGGCACCUUCGGCCGUAAAGCCGCGGUGGGGAGGUGUGGCGUAAAGCGCGGCUGUCGCGAAGAGCGGAGGAGCCGGAAGGAGACGCGCGGCGCCGGUUGGGCGACAAAAUGGCGGCGGCGCCUGGGCGUCCCGGGGGCAGCACCGGCGACGGGGCGGCGGGAGGAGGAGGAGGAGGAGGAGCGGGAGCCGCUGCCACCGCCUGAGUCUGAUCUCCGGUUCCCGGGUGACGACCGAGGGUGCCCCGCGCCCCCCCCCCGGCGGAAGAGGCGGCAGGACAGGUGG